GUGGGGAAUCUUAGACAAUGGGGGAAACCCUGAUCUAGCCAUGCCGCGUGAGCGAUGAAGGCCUUAGGGUUGUAAAGCUCUUUCAGCUGGGAAGAUAAUGACUGUACCAGCAGAAGAAGCCCCGGCUAACUCCGUGCCAGCAGCCGCGGUAAUACGGAGGGGGCUAGCGUUGUUCGGAAUUACUGGGCGUAAAGCGCACGUAGGCGGACCGGAAAGUCAGAGGUGAAAUCCCAGGGCUCAACCUUGGAACUGCCUUUGAAACUCCUGGUCUUGAGGUCGAGAGAGGUGAGUGGAAUUCCGAGUGUAGAGGUGAAAUUCGUAGAUAUUCGGAGGGACACCAGUGGCGAAGGCGGCUCACUGGCACGAUACUGACGCUGAGGUGCGAAAGCGUGGGGAGCAAACAGGAUUAGAAACCCCAGUAGUCC
rnacentral:rRNA from 1 species